CUCACUCGCGCGUUAGGAGGCUCGGGUCGUUGUGGUGCGCCGUGUUCCCGCUUGCGUCAGGGACCUGCCCGACUCAGUGGCCGCCAUGGCAUCAGAUGAAGGCAAACUUUUUGUUGGAGGGCUGAGUUUUGACACCAAUGAGCAGUCGCUGGAGCAGGUCUUCUCAAAGUACGGACAGAUCUCUGAAGUGGUGGUUGUGAAAGACAGGGAGACCCAGAGAUCUCGGGGAUUUGGGUUUGUCACCUUUGAGAACAUUGACGACGCUAAGGAUGCCAUGAUGGCCAUGAAUGGGAAGGUGAGGAUCAGGGUGCUGAGCGGGAGUCCCAUCUCGAGGAUGGGGCACCCACCCGCUAACCCGUCCCGCCCUCUGUCUCCAGUCUGUAGAUGGACGGCAGAUCCGAGUAGACCAGGCAGGCAAGUCGUCAGACAACCGAUCCCGUGGGUACCGUGGUGGCUCUGCCGGGGGCCGGGGCUUCUUCCGCGGGGGCCGAGGACGGGGCCGUGGGUUCUCUAGAGGUGAGUGCCAUGAGCGGGUCCCUUGGGGAUGCUGUGAGGUACUGCUGGUGGGAGCUGGUACUCACUUUUUCCUGUAUGUGCAGGAGGAGGGGACCGAGGCUAUGGGGGGAACCGGUUCGAGUCCAGGAGUGGGGGCUACGGAGGCUCCAGAGACUACUAUAGCAGCCGGAGUCAGAGUGGUGGCUACAGUGACCGGAGCUCGGGCGGGUCCUACAGAGACAGUUAUGACAGUUACGGUAAGU
rnacentral:sRNA from 1 species